UACGUAGGGGGCAAGCGUUGUCCGGAUUUAUUGGGCGUAAAGAGCGUGUAGGCGGUUUGGUAGGUCCGUUGUGAAAACUCGAGGCUCAACCUCGAGACGCCGAUGGAAACCAUCAGACUAGAGUCCGGAAGAGGAGAGUGGAAUUCCUGGUGUAGCGGUGAAAUGCGUAGAUAUCGGAAGGAACACCAGUGGCGAAAGCGGCUUCCUGGUCCAGCACCGACGUUCAGGCACUAAAGCGUGGGGAGCAAACAGG
rnacentral:rRNA from 1 species